rnacentral:lncRNA from 1 species
UCUUUCAUAGAACGCUGAUUUUCAUAGUACAAUUGAACAAUUUGUACACGUUGUUGUGGCGUAUAUCUUUCCAUGAAGAAUUGUAAAACAAUACCGAUUAAAAAUGUUUAAGUUCACUCAGUGUAACUUUAAAACCGUUAAAAACCAUGGAAAUUUUCCCAAUUCAUAGAACAAAUGUUUUAUUAUUAACGGAAAACAAUAUUUGUAGCUAACUGUAACAGUCUGUAGCACAUACACGCAUCGAAAGAGAGCAACACAUAUAAAGAAACACGUGGUUCUUAAUGUUAAUUUUUAUAAGGAUUUCGGAAUGCUUUAUCAGUUGAGAGAUAGAAUCCACCAUGGACGCAUCAGGAAUUAAAUUGUGCAGCGUGACCUACUAAGCUAUUUGUUUAUAUUUACAACAUUGAAUCGCUCAGAUGAAUCCGUGACUCAAUUUAGUGGACGGUUGUUUCAACCGUGUUAACUUUGAAAGAUGUAUAUCUCGCGAGAACAAGUAGUUAACCCCGUGAGACUGGCAAUAAGGAUGGUAUUCUUACGGAAAUGUUCUUUAUGAAUGAAUCAAUAUGUUUAUGUUGGACAUCAUUACAUAUUUAAUUACUAAUUGUGUUCCAUAAAAGCAUAUACAAUAAAAAUCUAGAUUACGUCAA